rnacentral:rRNA from 1 species
ACGAAGAACCUUACCAGGUCUUGACAUCCCGUUGACCGCUAUGGAGACAUAGUUUUCCCUUCGGGGACAAUGGUGACAGGUGGUGCAUGGUUGUCGUCAGCUCGUGUCGUGAGAUGUUGGGUUAAGUCCCGCAACGAGCGCAACCCUUGAUCUUAGUUGCCAUCAUUUAGUUGGGCACUCUAAGGUGACUGCCGGUGAUAAACCGGAGGAAGGUGGGGAUGACGUCAAAUCAUCAUGCCCCUUAUGACCUGGGCUACACACGUGCUACAAUGGACGGUACAAACGGUUGCCAACCCGCGAGGGGGAGCUAAUCCGAUAAAACCGUUCUCAGUUCGGAUUGUAGGCUGCAACUCGCCUACAUGAAGCCGGAAUCGCUAGUAAUCGCGGAUCAGCAUGCCGCGGUGAAUACGUUCCCGGGCCUUGUACACACCGCCCGUCACACCACGAGAGUUUGUAACACCCGAAGUCGGUGAGGUAACCUUUUGGAGCCAGCCGCCGAAGGUGGGAUAGAUGAUUGGGGUGAAGUCGUAACAAGGUAAGCGUAGAUGA